GUCCGGUCCCGGCCAGCAGCAUUCCGAAGGCGGCCCUGCCCUCCCCCCCACUCCCGGCAACGCCUCUACACCCGAGGCCUGGGGCCCCGGGAAGUUGGGGAGCCCCGGGAGAGGGCUAGGAAGUUCUCGGAGUUUGGGGGUUGCUGCGGACGCUGUGCCCCUCUCCUCCAGCACGCCCCCCAACUUAACCCCUUCCCUCCCGCGGAAGUAAGCUCUAGGCCACCUGUGAGGUUUGAACUCAUGACGCUGACAUCGAGUUGCAUAGUCCGCUGACUGAGCCAGCCAGAAAAGCCCCUGCCAUGAAUCCUUCUGAAAAGAUCACCAACACUUCACGGAGAGAGUGGAGGCAACAAGACCACAUUGGGACUCUACCUUGAAAAGGAAACGAAAAAUGAUGAAGAAAGACUAGCUUUAACUCACUAACACUAUUUAGAUUAUGAUUGCAACCAUGCAGACAUUAGAAUGAAGAGUUGGUCCUUUACUGAAACAGGGUCAUUUUUGCAAAUAUAUUUGAGAGUUUCACGUGCAAAUGUUGCUCUGAAUCCUUUGGUAGUCUAACAAUUCUCUCUGGAAGGACGCGAUCAUUUCUCUUUAGCCAUGUUCUCUUCCUCUGUGGACAGCUAUGCCUUCAUUUGUCCCAUGUCACUUUAACCAACUUCAUGAAGCCCUGCGCUUUUUGCAACAUUUGCAGUUUUGCUUGUCAGUUCAUUUGCUUCUUACUUGCGUGGUUAAAUGCUGAUGUCUGAUGGAGACAGAUUUGGGGAGAGGAUGUGGUGUUGGAGAGAGAUCUAGUCCGUAAAUGUUGCGAGGCUGGCCUUUGCUUUGCUUUGUACCUGGGCCUGUGAGAGUCAGUUACUAAGUACUCAGAGGACAGAGAUUCUCCCCCUCUUUUUUUAAAAAAAAAAGUGUUUAUUAUUUUUGAGAGAGAAAGACAGAGUGCCUGAGCAGGGGAGGGGCAGAGAGAGAGAGGGAGACACAGAAUCGGAAGCAGAAUCCAAGCUGUCAGCACAGAGAGCCCAACGCGGGGCUGGAACUCACAAACUGUUGAGACUGUGACCUGAGCCGAAGUUUGCUGCUUAACCAGCUGAGUCACCCAGGUGCCCCAAGACUUCCCCCUUUUAAACUUGAGGAAAUGCUCC
rnacentral:lncRNA from 1 species